rfam:Ictidomys tridecemlineatus contig095763, whole genome shotgun sequence.
GGGGUUGUGGCUCAGCGGUAGAGCGCUCACCUUGCACGAGCGAGGCCCUGGGUUCGAUCCUCAGCACCA